ensembl:lncRNA
GGCUCAGGGGCAGCUCUGUCUGUCCCGGGCACCCCAUGCCCUGCUCAGCGUGGGUAGGGUGUUGGCGGCCUGCGGCGCGGGGCUUUGGACUUUGGAGGCGGAGUCUUGGGAGACUCUGGUCUGUUGCGUAUGGGUGGCAGCAAACCAGAUCGGCUGGUGGAGGGCUCCUCAGGCAGGCUGCACUCACGGUGAGACGGUGAUGCCGCCGUCUCCUGAGGUUCUGCCUGUGCCGGCCUGUCCUUCGUGGCCAUCUGCCUCUGCCUGAGUAGUUUGACAGAGUCACGUGGCAGAAACGGGUAGGGUGUUGGCGGCCUGCGGCGCGGGGCUGUGGUCCUUGGAGGCGGACUCCUGGGAGACUCUGGUCUGUUGCGUGUGGGUGGCAGCAAACCAGAUCUGCAGGUGGAGGGCUCCUCAGGCAGGC